UUUAAAAGCACGAGUCCAGGGUGGGAUGCCUCCAGAGUAUUGGCUGGAGGGACCCACUCAGGGACCCUCUCUCGGCAGAGGCAGCCUAGAGGGAGGAGAAGAGCAACAAGCCAGAGAAAGAGGCCAGGCUGGGGCUGGGACAGAGAGUCCUGAAUCCCAUCUCCAGGUGACUCAGUGCCUGCUUUUGACCUUGGCAUUGACCUCAAGAGCCUUCUGCCAGCCUAGGAUGUGCGUAGGAAGGUCUCCACACCCAGCUUUGGCUGGCCGCCUUCGGGCCAGGUCACCCGAGGCCAGGCUUGCCUCAUCUCGGAUUCUUUUCCUUCUCCACGCUGCUCUGUCCUGGCUGCUUUGCUCACUGCAAGUCAGCACCCGUCUGCCUUGGACUGGGUCAUAUUACAACCACAGCCGGGGCCCGGGGACCCAACCACGGUGUGCCAGAGCAGGUGGCUCGCCUGGGACCCUGAAGUGCACACAGCAAGGUCCACGUUCCUGAGUUUUGUACAAAAUCGUCCACAGACUUUAGAAUCCACCAGGACGCAGGAGUCAAGACAGCUGGCCUAAUGCGACUUGAGCAGAGAAGCCCAGCCCUGCUCAAGACAGCCAGCCACAGGAAGUGACUGAGCCCAGGGCCUAGGCCAAGAGCCUUGGCAGGCCAGCUCUGCAGCCUGGGGAGUCACUGGGCUCCUCAAGUUACAGGAGCUGUUGUCAUGGAUACCAGUGGUUUUAUGGUCUAGCAAGUGGAAACACAGGACACCCAGUUCCAUUUGAGCGUCAGAUCAACAGUGUAAGUCAACCCCUGGCCGUGCUUGGGAGACACUGAUCCUAAGGGUCAUUCUUUUCUUUUCUGGAUUCUCACAUACCAGGGUCCCUGGUGUUUGACCCAUCAAACGAUGGCCUCAUUAUUCUUGAAGGAAACCCCUUGAAUGGAAGCAUCCUCUCCCCUGUGAUGUGCAGAGUCCCCAGAUGUCAGGAACUCAGAGAUCAUUUCUCCUAGACUGUGAAUGUUAGGUACCCAAUACAGAUGUCAGCAGUGUCUGUGAUGUUGAUAACAAUUAAUAACACUUGACACGGAUGUUAGUGCUCAUUCGCAGAGCGUCCGCUGUGCUCCAGACACACCCUUUGCUCAACUCUGUCACGUCUUCACUCAGGGACCCUGCGCAUGGUGGCUGCAUCCUGUCAUCAUGAACCAGGUUGUUCACAGGGCUCAUUCGAGAUAGAUGCUACAGAGUGUGUGUCCCCCAACUGCCAUGGUGGGGCGCUGUGCUGAGUGGCUUGUGAGGGUCACCUCAUAAAGUGUCGACUGUUCUGUACACGGAAGUUAUUCCUAGGUCAUCGGGAGGUCUCUACUUUGAAAGUGGGGAAACUGAGUCUCAAGCUCGGGGACAUCAAUAGUCAGGAAGCUCAGAUCCACAGAGAGAAGCUGGCUUCUGCCCGAGUUCCAUACUCCUCUAGGCUUCUCCAUCGGCCACAUGGUAAGUUGGAUCGAGGGUAGACAAGCUGGAGCUGUGCAUGUCCCCAGCUGUGCCUAAGGGACCCUACUUCCCCUGAGAACAAAGCUAUCACCAAGCCUGUCUCUGCUGCAGUUCAUGUCCCAGCUGUGGCUCAGGGUCCCCCAAUUCCCCUGCUACAGUGCAUGUCCCAGCUGUGCCUCAGGGACCCCAUGUUCCCUGCUGCAGUGCAUGUCCCUAGAUGUGCCUCAGGGUCCCCAUGUCCCCUGCUGCAGUGUGUGUCCCCAGCUGUGUCUCAGGGUUCCCCCAAUUCUCCUGCUGUAGUACAUGUUCCCAGCUGUGUCUCAUGGACCCCAGUUCCUCUGAGAACAGCAUUAUCACCAAGCCUGUCUCAGAUGGGGUUGAGGUUUCCUCUGCACACAAUAAAGGCCCUGGGACAAAUGCUUUCCAGCGCCGAUGGCUGGUGCAGUAGUGAGGAAGCUUAAAGGGCAGGGCUCUAGAGAGCUUAGAAUAGUUUGUUUUUUUUUUUCAUUGCUGUGAAGAAAUAUCCUACAAGAGCCAUCAGAAGGAGAAGGGUUUUAUUCUGUCCCCGAUUGAGGACAUCAUGCCCAUCAGGAAAGACAAGGCAUGAGAAAGCAGACCACACAUGGCAUCCACAGUCACAAAUGCUGGCACGUUCAGAAUCUCUGGGGUUGAGACUUCUCCAAAAACUUCUGCAGGAUCCUGGUGGGAAGCUCUCUCCUCUCUCUGCGUCAGCUUCCUGGGGGACCCACCGUUCCUUCCAGCCCAGAGCGGCAUCACUGUCUACACAUCACAAGCCUGGGUUGGUGUCGAGUGUCUCUGACUUUGGAGUCUCGAGCCCCGGACUUAGUUUUAUGGGCUUUGGCUGUCGAGGGCAGCCGACGACUCCAUCCAUCAACCGGGGACUGCUCUAACACUAAUGGUGAAUUUAUAGAAGUGGUUAAACAAAGUGUUGACAAUGCGGACGGUGUGUUUCUGAUUAACACACGAUUCCGAGGGAAGCUGCCAUCCGAGGGGGGAGUCAGUAAAACACAGCAGUGAAUUCCCAGGCCCCGGAGACUCCGACUAGACUGGAUCACCAGAGGUUGCGCAAGGAGAUCAUGAGUCUGAGGCUGCUGUGGGGACUCUUGUACAAACCCAGAGCCACCCCUCCCUUCCCCCCCUUUUUUUUUCUUGAGAGAUUACAUCUGAGUUCUCUCUUCCAGCCUUAAGCGUUUCCAUUAGAAAAUUCUGUCAGCUCCCAUGGUGUUCUCUCCAAACCCUGUCCUCAGACCAACCCCUCUCCCAAGGUGACCUGAAACACGGUGGAGCACUUAGCUGCUUUCUGGGUGCUGAUGGCUUUCUUAAAUCAUCUCUAGUCAUUAAGAGAACGGGUGGGGCCGUUUGCAUUUUAAAAAGACUUCUCUUCUAAAUAGCGUGGCUCUCACUGGAAGUUGCAGUAUGAUCCAGAGUGCUCUCUUGUUUCCGUGUUCCCUCCUACCCCAGUUCCCUCUUACCCCAGUGCCCCUUACCCCAGUGCCCCACAUGAUCACAUUCAAUUUCAUGGCCAUAGCAAAUUGUCAGAGCAUAGUAAAUUGCCUUUCUGACAUUCUGGGCCCCUUCAGCAGGAUUUUACUUUAUUUUCUUAAACAGCCUAUAACUUUUAUCACACAUUAAGAUUAGCAACUGCCACUAUCUGUGACGGGAGAGUCUCCCAUGAUUACACCAGAAGUCCCUGGGUUCAUCUCCCCCAUUCCUGGUGAUAAUUGCUAUGUCACGAGGUCGAACAAUGUGUAAGCUUCAAGACUGGCCUCCUAGUACUAGCUUUUCAGACAAAGCCUUGGCAUGGAACCCAGGUUGGCCUCAAAUUCCUGAUUUCCUGCUUCAGCCUCCAGAACAUUGAGGUCACAGGUGUGUGCCACCACACCAGGCUCCAUCUGCCUUCGUUUCUUCCACAUCAUCCCUUUUGGUCAGUGAAUAGUAUUCCAGUGUAUGGAUAUAACACAGUCUGUCCAUUCACUGGUUGAAGAACACCAGCUGUAGACUACACUGGCUGCUGAGAUUCAUACGCAUGAGGUGCUAAUGCAUAUUCAUGGACAGGAUUAUGUGAGCAUCUACAGUUAACAGACAAGGUUAUCAGAGACAAAAGAGAUGAUGGACAGGCCAUCAAGUAAUGUGGACACAGCUGAACUGAGAACUGAACACGGAUACAAACUCUAGAGUCCAUGUCUGCCCAAUUAUGUCUAUGAUGGAAAAUCUUGUAGCUAAAAAAAAAAAAAAAAAACAUUAAAACCUCUUGAGCCUGAG
rnacentral:lncRNA from 1 species